CUCAAUUUGAAAAUUUCUCUCCCUCCAAAAACACCCCCAAAAUGAAAAUUUUUCGUGGUACAGUAGAAAAGCACAAUCUACAUCAUAUUCACUAUCAAUGUGCAAAAUUUCAAGCAAAUCGGUUCAUUAGGAGAGGCUGUAGCCCUGACAACGGAAAUUAGCUUCAUAAUUUUUCAGUGACUGAGAUGAGAAAGUAGUGGAAUAGAAGAAACAAAAUAAAAAUUUUUAGUUGAAGUGUAAAAAAGGGUCAUCUACAUGACUUACACUACCUCUAUACAAAAUUUCAAGUAAAUCCGUUCAUUUGAAGAGGCUGUAGCCCUGUCAACGGAAAGUUUCCGGUGGUUAUUUUACCGAUUUAACUACGGCGGCACCGGUGGAGGUGGUGGAGAUAAAUAUAAAAGGAGUAGAAAGCAGUUUGGGCGAAGCCCAAGGGGGGGUAUGGGGGGGACGAAGUCCCCCCCCCCUAACGAACUGAAAUAGUAAACAGUGAUAAGAAGUGUAUUCCUUCAUGAAUCGUGAUUACUGAUUUUUAGUUUAAUAAUCGUACUUAAAAGUAUUAAAAAAUGGUUGCUACUAAUAAUUUGAACGACAGAAUAAAGAACGGAGAGCUUAACUUCAGUUCCUGCGGUUUGAAAGAAAUACCUCUAAAAGAUGUCGCUAGUUUGAAACAUAUCAUGUUUGUUAAAUCUAUCUAACUACAAAAUAGCCUUGAUUCCGAGCAAGAAUCAAAGAAAAAUGACAAAAAAGCUUAAUAUUGAGGAAUCGCCACACAAACUAAACAAGAAGAUCGCAAACAGAAGUAACCUUUCAAGAUGAUGUACAGUUUUGCUCGGUUUUCACUUUUCAGUUCAUCUGAUACCUUUACUAAAUAGACAAUUGGCCAAAGUGAUCAGAGGCAAUUUGUGGAUGUACAAUAUGAACGAUGAAAUGGUCCAAUACAUUUGUCAACAAGUGAAAUCUAUCUAUUCAUACGAAGAGCUUUUAUUCCAUUUUGAACUGAGUAUUUAAUUCGUUGUGACUCACGAAUUACCUCAUCAUAGAGUUUCAGCAGUUAUCACUGCUGCUUUCGUACGAUUAUUUAUACAUCAUUAAUUCAUUAUCAGUUGGUUGUAUGCAAUAAUGCAGUGUGUAUUUUUGGACAUUUUUCAUUUUGAUUUGUGUUCGAAUAGCUAGUGCUAGAUUUCUGAUGUAGUGAUGUACAUGAUUUGUCUCAUCGUUGAUUGAGUCGACAAGUUGUAAUGCGAGUAACUACUAACUAAUUCAGCGUUGAACAAGCAUUAUUUCAAUUCUAAUAUGUACAUACAUCGAGUUGUUCAUUUUCAGACUCAUUCUGUUUUAUGUACAGUAACCAUAAUACAUGAUCUUGUACGUUUCUA